CCCACUGUCUGUGGGGUGCGUCAGGGGGACCCGUUCUCGCCGUUCCUGUUCAACAUGGUGGUCGAUGCUCUGGCCGCCAUCCUAGACAAAGCCAAGGGUGUCGGCCAUAUUCACGGCAUUGUCCCCCACCUAGUCGGAGGGGGAGGGGUCUCCCUCCUUCAAUACGCGGAUGACACCAUAAUAAUGGUUGAAGGUUCUACUCAGGACAUGGCUAACCUGAAGUUCCUCCUUCUGUGCUUCCAGCAGAUGUCGGGCCUAAUGAUCAACUUCGAUAAGAGCGAAGUGAUGGUUCUUGGUUACCCUCCAGUGGAAGCUCAGGCUAUCGCUGGCCGACUUAACUAUCGGCUGGGUUCUUUCCCCACGGCCUACCUAGGGAUCCCCAUUAGUGAUUCGCGCCUCACCGUGGCGGACCUCCGCCCCAUGGUGACCCGUAUGCAACAUCACGUCGAGCCUUGGAAAGGGCGCUGGCUAUCGAAGGCUACGCGUGUGAUUCUCAUCAACUCCUCUCUCGCCAGCCUUCUUUGGUACCUCAUGAGCUUUUAUAGCCUCCAUGAAACGCUGCACACGGAAAUUGCCAAGUACCAAUCCAAGUUCUACUGGGCUGGCGAGGAUGACAGACAGAAGUACCAUAUGGUCAGUUGGCCGGACAUAUGUAAAACUAGGACCAGGGGGGUCUAG
rnacentral:rRNA from 1 species